AACGAACGCUGGCGGCGUGGAUAAGACAUGCAAGUCGAACGGGAUAACAUCUGUAGCAAUACAGGUGUUAUUUAGUGGCGAACGGGUGCGUAACACGUGGGCAAUCUGCCGAGAAGUGGGGGAUAGCUCGCCGAAAGGCGAAUUAAUACCGCAUAUGAUCAGCUAAGACAUCUUAGCGACAUCAAAGCCGGGGCAACCUGGCGCUUCUUGAUGAGCCCGCGGCCUAUCAGCUAGUUGGUGAGGUAACGGCUCACCAAGGCUAUGACGGGUAGCUGGUCUGAGAGGACGACCAGUCACACUGGAACUGAGACACGGUCCAGACACCUACGGGUGGCAGCAGUGGGGAAUCUUGCGCAAUGCGCGAAAGCGUGACGCAGCAACGCCGCGUGGGG
rnacentral:rRNA from 1 species